rnacentral:rRNA from 1 species
UAUCUCGGCUCUUGCAUCGAUGAAGAACGUAGCGAAAUGCGAUACUUGGUGUGAAUUGCAGAAUCCCGUGAACCAUCGAGUCUUUGAACGCAAGUUGCGCCUGAAGCCAUUAGGUUGAAGGCACGUCUGCCUGGGCGUCACGCAUUGCGUCACCCACUCCCCAGUGCCUAAGCGGGCAUG